UACGUAGGGGGCAAGCGUUGUCCGGAAUCAUUGGGCGUAAAGCGCGUGUAGGCGGCCCGAUAAGUCCGCUGUGAAAGUCCAGGGCUCAACCCUGGGAUGCCGGUGGAUACUGUCGGGCUCGAGUCCGGAAGAGGCGAGUGGAAUUCCUGGUGUAGCGGUGAAAUGCGCAGAUAUCAGGAGGAACACCAAUGGCGAAGGCAGCUCGCUGGGACGUGACUGACGCUGAGGCGCGAAAGCUAGGGGAGCAAACAGG
rnacentral:rRNA from 1 species